GCAAAGUACAAAGAAAGAUGCCAUUGAAACAUAUAUGGGGGCAUUCACUAUGGUCCUUAAAAAGUACAACUAUUUGACACAUCUAAAAGGUCCUUAAACCAGUAGGUUUGACAAUUUUGAACCUGUUAUGAGGGACCCUGCCAUGCCAACACUUGAUGGGAUGUCUGUAGUGACAGAAGGACCAGUUGUGAGAGUAGGUAUCACAGUGAUGAGAUCAAUGUGAUUUUCUUCAGCAAAUUUCCAUGCUGCCUUCUCUGCUAGUGCUUUGGAGGCAGGAUAACCCUGCAUGUGUUUGGAUGCACACUCUACUUUAGAGUCUAUCGAAUGAGUUUUAAUCUUUUCCAUCUAGGAAUGGUAAGUGUGAAGACUGAAGAGCCAUUCCUCAUCCCCAUCCUAAGUUUUAAGUGUGUUUGGAUUCAUGUUGGAUCAUUCAAAAUCAUAUCCAAAUAACAGUUAACAUGAUUUUAGAUAAAUGUUCACACAUUUGGUCCUACGUUAAAAAAUUGAUUUUGAGUUGAAACAACUUUAACUAGUUUUUUAGUUGAAUAAAAACUUUUAUAUUGAGUUUUACUAUUAUGUUACUUUUAGAAUAAAAUCAUCUAAACAUAAAUCGCGAGACUGGAAAAUCAAUUUCAUUCAAAAUUAGUAUUGUAUAUGCUGAUCCAGAUAUGUGUGAAAUAAGGUUUGACUUUUACCCAAGUGGGUGGCUUUGCAGUGCUCAAGUACUCAACAUCAGUCCAGUUGCUUUCAUCCAUAACCAGAUCAGUUCCCUUGAGUUGGUUUAUGGUCACAGCAGCUGCUGAAGAUGUCAAGAUGACUCGUUUGACUCCUUUUGCUCGCACACAUGCUUUUAACACAUUCAAGACGCCUGUGAUUGCAGGCUUGAUCAUGUCAUUCUGAAUAGUGUAAUUGCAAAAGAAUUUCCUCAUUAGUCUUUUUCUUCAACAUACACAUGCACACACGUACACGCAAAAGCAUUCGAUUUAGUUGUUAAAUUUAUAAUGCAGUUUCUAGUUCAGUGUCUAAUCUACCUCAGGAUCUUCAGAAGCAAAGUUCACAGGUGUAGCAAGCUGGAAGACAAGUUCACAGCCUGCUAUAGGAGCAUCAAAAUCUUUUUCACCAGUUAAAUCUGCUCCAAAUAUGUUCAAUUCGCCCAAACUUUGCAGUGCCAAAAGGUGAGGUAUUUUUUUAGUAUUAUCUGCACAAAACACCAAUGUAAUUAAGUACUUUUGGUCAUGAUAAAAUUAUAUUGGAUUCUCUAUUCUUCAAUAAAACUUUAGAAGGGAGAUUGGCCUUGUGCUUCUUGUUAUGGGCUAACCAAUUACUAGUCUUUAAGUACCUUUUCGUUGGUUUUGUUUUCAUUCCAAUUUUCUUAUAUUUUGAUGGGAUGUUAACAAGUAGGUUACCAUGUCACCUUUUUUAUUUAUUCAAUAGUUGUCUCUCUUUUUGGUUUUCACAUGGGAGGGGAAAAGAAGAAGAAAUUUUCUAACACCUUAUUUAAUUUAUGAGAAAAGGUGUGUACCUUUAAAUUACAUUUUUUUUUUUUUACUAAUGUCAAGUAUAGUUUUGAUUUUUUUAAAACCAUUUUUCCCCUCUUUUUAUCACUCAUGUCUCUUUCUGUAAAGAGAAAAAAUCACGUGUGUUCAGGCAAUACUUAUCUAAAAAAAAGUCUCGUUUGAAUAAUGUGCCUUUCUCUUUAGUCACACUAGAUGUACCUGCUAAAAUUUAAAAAUUGAAAGAAAAUUUAAAUACCUUUUCUAUUUCUUUAAUUCUCUUUAAUUUUUCUGAAUGGUAAACAAAACAAAUAAACAGUUUUACAGCGACAUAUUUCACAAAGGGAGAGAGACUAGCCUGGGUCUCUAACUGUGGUAUUGACAGCAUAACCCUUUUCAAGCAACUGCUUGAUCAACAAAGAGGCCAUAAAUCCACUCCCUCCAAUCACACAUGCCUUCUUUCCAGUUGGCUUGAUAGUGGCCAUGUUUUCACUCUCUCACACACUUCAAAGGAUAAAAUGAAACUUACUUUAUAGACAGUUUUUUAAUCCUCCCUCAGGAGAGAAGCUUCUUAAAUAAUAACAUUAAUCUUUCAGUUACUUAAUCUAACAAAUCGUUUCGUUCGAGUAUUGUAAAUUGAAGGUGAGCACGUGAUGGUGUUAGGUGGUGUGUAUUGUUACCAACGACUCAACAUCAACAAGUCUUGGGGGUGAACAAAAAAGCCUUUCACCUUUCAUUAAUAUCCUACACACUAUUACUAUUUUCUAUCGAUAAGUAUCUGUGUUUUAAUUUAAAAUUUAUAAAUAUAUAUUAAUUUUAUUUUAUAAAAUAAAAUAUUUAUUUUAAAUUUUCUUAAGAUUUUAUUUUAAUGAGUCAACUGGUCUAUUACGUUUGUUUUAAUAACUAUAGGUUGAAUACAAUGAUCAUAUUUUUGUUUGCUGCACAAGGUGAUCUAUCUCUCUCUCUCUCUCUAUAUAUAUAUAUAUUUCUUGUUCUCUAAAAAAGAACAACACAAGCACAUAACUCCUUUCUCCCAAAUAUCUUCUUUUUCUUUUCCUAUAAAAACUUAUUUUUUAGAGCAAAAGCAUUAGUGUUCACAAGUUUCGGGAUUCUUUUGCUGCACACGUCGGUCGAAACCAACUGGUUGUCGUAUCUUAGGAGAGGGAUCAUUUUGCUACACACGGUCAAAAUCAACUAGUGCUUCAACCCAGGCUAAAUAAUUAUUUUUCUUAUUUAUUUUUUCCUUAUAUUUAUUGUAUGAUAUAGUCAUGUGGUGUUAAUUAAAAUUAUUUUGCUAUUAAUAUUUUUUUAUUUAAUUCAAGACUUUGCAUUCUCUUCUCAUUUAUUUCUUUUCUUUUAUUUUAAUUUUUUUCAACAUUUUCUUCACAAUUAAACAUGUCAGACUGAAUUAAAAUUUUGCACCUCAUCUACACCGUCUAUCUAACAUUCAAUCGCACAACAGAAUCACGUAUGAAUAGGAAAAUAAAUGGAGAUAAUCUAGAAAUAUCAUUAUUAUUAUUGUCUAAGAGCUAAUUACAAAAGAGAAGAAAUUGGCCACAUUAAAAUUAACUUCUGGGAAGGUCCAUUUAAUAUCCAAAAAUUAUUCGAUAACAAAAGUAGGACAAGUGAGAAAUGUUGAAGUAAACAAAAAAAUUUAGAUAGAGUCAUAUCUAAAUGUUGGCUAAGUAAGCGUGAGUAAUUAUGAACCCGUGAACCAUCCACAUGGGAGUGGUGAAGGAAGGACCACAAUAUAUGAGAUUUUCCUGCCCUUGAAAGAAGAAGUAGAAAAAAAAGAAGAAAUAUACACUUAAAAAAAUCCUUUUGUAAUGAAUCAUUUAUUAAGAAAAAUAAAUAAACUUAACACAAACCCGAAAAAGAUAUAAUAAUAACCUCCAGAUCAUCUACCAUUAUACAUACAAAUAAUAAAUUAAAUGACUUUUCAAUGGUAUUUGUUACUCAAAAAGAAAAAGACCAAUAACUAUUGGUACACCUGGUGACCCAACUAAUUAGUCAAAUGAGGAUUAUUUCCUAUGAAUAUCAUGAUGAAGAAGAAAAAAAGACAUGAAGAGUCAUUUAAUUUAUGUAUGUUUACUAUUCCAUGACAAUAAUGUUCAAUUAAUCCUUUUUUUUAUUACCACCAUGUCUUAUUUCAUGGACAAGCUACUCCGGUCAAAGAAAUUUUGGGUAAUGGUUAUUCUCUGAAAUAAUAAAUAAACUGUUGCAUCGUAGUCCUCCACUUCCAAAGAUAUAUGUGAACCUCAAAUGAAAUUAUGAAGAUUUUCGUGAAAGGUUCUUUCUCUUUUUCUAGCAAGAAUAAAUAAAAAAAGUAACAAUUUUACAAAAUUAAUCUUGUAUUAAAUCUUGUUUGUUAUGCAAAUUGCUAAUGUUAGAAGUAUAAAUAGAAAAAACAAUUAAAAUUAAUUUUUACUUCGAGCACACACUUAUUAUGACAUGAAUUCUAUAACAAGUGCAAGAACAUCGAAGUUUAGUUGAGCAGGGCCCCCUCACUCCUUAAGUACUCCACACUCUGGUUAAUAAUUUCUUCAAUGCCAUACUUGAAACUGAACCCUUCUUUGAUAAGCUUCUCUGAAGAGAUGACUAACUUUGCCUUGGAGGGGAUAUCAUGGAAUCUGCAUUUAUAGAAUGGUACUUGGCUUCAAUAGAAUGUAAGACAUGUUUCUACUAUUUGAGAAGGGGAAGCUAUUAACAACUUUAUCAAGGCAUCAAAAUAAAAGAGCAUUAUGAAGUAAUUUUCAAGCCAAAUCAUAACCACACAAUGAAGUUUCUUCACAAAUUCAUGCCCAUAAAAUUGGACUGCAUAAAAGAUUCCAUAAUCUUGCACAAGUACUUUAAUCAAGGGGGUGACCUUAUUGGUUAAAAGUUAAAACUAACAAUUGAAAAGAAUUUCUAAGACAAAAAAGAUAUUGUCUGCUAUGUGAACCUUCAAAAAUCAAAAUUUUCUAAAACUUUAAAAGAGUUUCUACAUUAUAAAAUUUUCACACCAAAUUUAAGGUUAGAGGCUUACUCAGUUGGAAUUUCAUAUCGAGGGUAUCUUUCGCUAAGAAACUUUGCAAGCUCAGGAACACUAGUAUUGUGAGCACAGACAAUGUAUCGACCAGAAGCUGAUUCUUUCUCUGCCACAAAUAUAUGUGCUCGGCAAAUAUCCUCAACAUGAGUGAUAGAUAUUGAACCUGACAGCAAUUGCAUCUCUCUCAAAGACUUAAUGUAGAAAUCAUUCCCUGCAAGGUACCAACAAAAAUUCCAUCAAAACAUUCAUGAGUCAAUUUGUAUAGUGCUUAAAAAUGUGGCAAGGUAAAAGUAUUAAAUUCAUUGGAUAUGGUAGUUUGUGAACCUUUCAUUAGGGACGCAGCCAACACAACACUGAAUGGGAUGUCUGCAGUGAUAGAAGGACCAGCAGUGAGGGAAGGUAUCACAGUGAUGAGAUCAAUGUGAUUUUCUUCAGCAAAUUUCCAUGCAGCCUUCUCUGCU
rnacentral:lncRNA from 1 species